GACGAACGCUGGCGGCGUGCCUAACACAUGCAAGUCGAACGGAAAGGCCCAGCUUUUGUGGGGUGCUCGAGUGGCGAACGGGUGAGUAACACGUGAGUAACCUGCCCUUGACUUUGGGAUAACUUCAGGAAACUGGGGCUAAUACCGGAUAGGAGCUCCUGCUGCAUGGUGGGGGUUGGAAAGUUUCGGCGGUUGGGGAUGGACUCGCGGCUUAUCAGCUUGUUGGUGGGGUAGUGGCUUACCAAGGCUUUGACGGGUAGCCGGCCUGAGAGGGUGACCGGCCACAUUGGGACUGAGAUACGGCCCAGACUCCUACGGGAGGCAGCAGUGGGGAAUAUUGCACAAUGGGCGGAAGCCUGAUGCAGCAACGCCGCGUGCGGGAUGACGGCCUUCGGGUUGUAAACCGCUUUCGCCUGUGACGAAGCGUGAGUGACGGUAAUGGGUAAAGAAGCACCGGCUAACUACGUG
rnacentral:rRNA from 1 species